rnacentral:rRNA from 1 species
UACGUAGGGUCCGAGCGUUGUCCGGAAUCAUUGGGCGUAAAGCGCACGUAGGCGGCCUGCUAAGUCGGAUGUGAAAGCCCCAGGGCUCAACCCUGGAAGUGCAUUCGAAACUGGCGAGCUUGAAUGUCGGAGAGGGCAGUGGAAUUCCGAGUGUAGAGGUGAAAUUCGUAGAUAUUCGGAGGAACACCAGUGGCGAAGGCGACUGCCUGGACGAACAUUGACGCUGAGGUGCGAAAGCGUGGGGAGCAAACAGG